CGGUAAUCCCCCCCAAAAAAAAGCCCACAUCUUCUCUCCCAUUAUCAAUGCCAAUGGCUACACCAGCUCAUCCAUAUCAUUAAAAAAAAAAGGCUUAAAAACAACGAACCAUAAUUUCCCCUCAAAAAAGAAGAUUGAAUAAAGAAAAUGAAAAUAAAGGAAAAGACAGCCAUUUUUUACCUGGGUUGAAAGGACAGAGCUUGUUUUGCUCUCCUCCAUCAA
rnacentral:misc_RNA from 1 species